rnacentral:rRNA from 1 species
GAUGAACGCUGGCGGCGUGCCUAAUACAUGCAAGUCGAGCGAACGGACGAGAAGCUUGCUUCUCUGAUGUUAGCGGCGGACGGGUGAGUAACACGUGGAUAACCUACCUAUAAGACUGGGAUAACUUCGGGAAACCGGAGCUAAUACCGGAUGAUAUUUUGAACCGCAUGGUUCAAAAGUGAAAGACGGUCUUGCUGUCACUUAUAGAUGGAUCCGCGCUGCAUUAGCUAGUUGGUAAGGUAACGGCUUACCAAGGCAACGAUGCAUAGCCGGCCUGAGAGGGUGAUCGGCCACACUGGAACUGAGACACGGUCCAGACUCCUACGGGAGGCAGCAGUAGGGAAUCUUCCGCAAUGGGCGAAAGCCUGACGGAGCAACGCCGCGUGAGUGAUGAAGGUCUUCGGAUCGUAAAACUCUGUUAUUAGGGAAGAACAUAUGUGUAAGUAACUGUGCACAUCUUGACGGUACCUAAUCAGAAAGCCACGGCUAACUACGUGCCAGCAGCCGCGGUAAUACGUAGGUGGCAAGCGUUAUCCGGAAUUAUUGGGCGUAAAGCGCGCGUAGGCGGUUUUUUAAGUCUGAUGUGAAAGCCCACGGCUCAACCGUGGAGGGUCAUUGGAAACUGGAAAACUUGAGUGCAGAAGAGGAAAGUGGAAUUCCAUGUGUAGCGGUGAAAUGCGCAGAGAUAUGGAGGAACACCAGUGGCGAAGGCGACUUUCUGGUCUGUAACUGACGCUGAUGUGCGAAAGCGUGGGGAUCAAACAGGAUUAGAUACCCUGGUAGUCCACGCCGUAAACGAUGAGUGCUAAGUGUUAGGGGGUUUCCGCCCCUUAGUGCUGCAGCUAACGCAUUAAGCACUCCGCCUGGGGAGUACGACCGCAAGGUUGAAACUCAAAGGAAUUGACGGGGACCCGCACAAGCGGUGGAGCAUGUGGUUUAAUUCGAAGCAACGCGAAGAACCUUACCAAAUCUUGACAUCCUUUGACAACUCUAGAGAUAGAGCCUUCCCCUUCGGGGGACAAAGUGACAGGUGGUGCAUGGUUGUCGUCAGCUCGUGUCGUGAGAUGUUGGGUUAAGUCCCGCAACGAGCGCAACCCUUAAGCUUAGUUGCCAUCAUUAAGUUGGGCACUCUAAGUUGACUGCCGGUGACAAACCGGAGGAAGGUGGGGAUGACGUCAAAUCAUCAUGCCCCUUAUGAUUUGGGCUACACACGUGCUACAAUGGACAAUACAAAGGGCAGCGAAACCGCGAGGUCAAGCAAAUCCCAUAAAGUUGUUCUCAGUUCGGAUUGUAGUCUGCAACUCGACUACAUGAAGCUGGAAUCGCUAGUAAUCGUAGAUCAGCAUGCUACGGUGAAUACGUUCCCGGGUCU